rnacentral:rRNA from 1 species
AUUGAACGCUGGCGGCAUGCCUAACACAUGCAAGUCGAACGAGUGGCGGACGGGUGAGUAAUGUCUGGGAAACUGCCCGAUGGAGGGGGAUAACUACUGGAAACGGUAGCUAAUACCGCAUACCAUCAGAUGGGCCCAGAUGGGAUUGGCUUGUUGGUGGGGUAACGGCUCACCAAGGCGACGAUCCGUAGCUGGUCUGAGAGGAGGACCGGCCACACUGGAACGGGGACACGGUCCAGACUCCUACGGGAGGCAGCAGUGGGAAAUAUUGCACAAUGGGCGAAGCCCUGAUGCAGCCAUCCCGCGUGUAUGAUGAAGGCCUUCGGGUUGUAAAGUACUGUAAGCGGGGAGGCGUUACCCGCAGAAGAAGCACCGGCUAACUCCGUGCCAGCAGCCGCGGUAAUUC